rnacentral:rRNA from 1 species
UACGUAGGGGGCUAGCGUUGUCCGGAAUCAUUGGGCGUAAAGAGCGUGUAGGCGGUCCGGUAAGUCCGCUGUGAAAGUCGGGGGCUCAACCCUCGAAUGCCGGUGGAUACUGUCGGGCUAGAGUGCGGAAGAGGCGAGUGGAACUCCUGGUGUAGCGGUGAAAUGCGCAGAUAUCAGGAGGAACACCCUAUUGCGAAGGCAGCUCGCUGGGACGUAACUGACGCUGGAGACGCGAAAAGCGUGGGGAGCAAACAGG